GACAGAGGGUGCAAACGUUGCUCGGAAUCACUGGGCGUAAAGGGCGUGUAGGCGGGUAGGAAAGUCAGAUGUGAAAUCCCUGGGCUCAACCCAGGAACUGCAUUUGAAACUCCCUUUCUUGAGUGUCGGAGAGGAAAGCGGAAUUCCUGGUGUAGAGGUGAAAUUCGUAGAUAUCAGGAGGAACACCGGUGGCGAAGGCGGCUUUCUGGACGACAACUGACGCUGAGGAGCGAAAGCGUGGGGAGCGAACAGG
rnacentral:rRNA from 1 species